GUUUGUUCUUUGAAUUUUUUUAGGUAUUUUUAGGAAUUUGACCUAAGGAGUGACUGUUUUGGGAGUAAAAUCCUUUUCCCGUUCAAAUAAACUUGGA